rnacentral:lncRNA from 1 species
AAGAUUUUAUCAUCGUUUCGGGUUACAGGGUUUCAGAUCUGAGCUAUUUUUCAGUUUUGUACGUUUCAGAUCUGUACUUUUAUGGGGUUGAUCUCAACCUCUUUCUUCAGUCUUAUGCAUGCUACUUGUAUUUUUCAAUUAUUAUCUGCAGUUAAAACUUUUCAUCGGAAAUAGUCGGCAUAUGCUCUCGAUGAUUGAACUUCAAUCUAAUAGUUUCAGCCUUGUCCGAAUUUGUUCAUGUUGGAAACUAGUUUUGUUCUGAGAGAGCUUUCUUCUUCUUGGCGCUUUUUUAAAAAUGGGUUUUAUAUCAACACUUUCGAUCAGUCACAGCUCCGUCUAAUGUGGUAAAAUACUUUUCAAUUUUUAUCAUCCAAACAAAUUAAUAUGUAAUGCUUUCAUUAACCUCUCACUUUAAACUCAGAUGUUUUAUAGUAGUUCACAAAAAAUUAUCUUAUUUAUUUAAUAAUUAAAUGAAUGUUUAUUAUACAAUCCCUACUAAUAUCAUAAUCCCAUCUCACCUCACCUUAAUUUGGAUAAAAAAUUAACUC